AGAGAUUGAACUGAAGAGUUUGAUCCUGGCUCAGAUUGAACGCUGGCGGCAUGCUUUACACAUGCAAGUCGAACGGUAACAGGGAGCUUGCUCC
rnacentral:rRNA from 1 species